rnacentral:misc_RNA from 1 species
GAUGAAGAACGUAGCGAAAUGCGAUACUUGGUGUGAAUUGCAGAAUCCCGUGAACCAUCGAAUCUUUGAACGCAAGUUGCGCCCGAAGCCAUUAGGCCGAGGGCACGCCUGCCUGGGCGUCACACGUCGUUGCCCCCCCAUCUACUCCUUCGGGAUUGCGGGGGGCGGAUGAUGGCCUCCCGUGCGCCUCGUCGCGCGGUUGGCAUAAAUGCCAAGUCCUCGGCGACGCACGCCACGACAAUCGGUGGUUGCGAAACCUCGGUUGCCCGUCGUGUGCGGUCGUCGCGCAUCGAGGGCUCGAAAAAAUUGUCGGGCUCCGGCUCGGCUUUCAACGCGACCCCAGGUCAGGCGGGGUUACCCGCUGAAUUUAAGCAUAUCAAUAAGCGGAGGA